UACGUAGGGGGCAAGCGUUGUCCGGAAUCAUUGGGCGUAAAGAGCUCGUAGGCGGUUUCGUAAGUCGGGUGUGAAAACUCUAGCUCAACCUAGAGACGCCACCCGAUACUGCGAUGACUAGAGUCCGGUAGGGGAGUGUGGAAUUCCUGGUGUAGCGGUGAAAUGCGCAGAUAUCAGGAGGAACACCAACGGCGAAGGCAGCACUCUGGGCCGGAACUGACGCUGGAGGAAGCGAAAGCCGUGGGUAGCGAACAGG
rnacentral:rRNA from 1 species